rnacentral:tRNA from 3 species
GGGUGUUAGCUCAGCUGGUUAGAGCGCCGGCCUGUCACGUCGGAGGUCGCGGGUUCAAGUCCCGCACAU